rnacentral:lncRNA from 1 species
GUGCUGUUUUUUAUUACCCAAAGCUUCGAUACACUUAACAAUCGAGAAAUAAAAUCCAAUGUUGAUACAACCACACUAUAGCAUUCUAUAUAUAUACAUAUAUAAUAGAGUGAGUGGCAGAUAGAGUUCUAGGCUUUUAGCCAGUUCAAGGGAAGCUUCACUCUCCUUUACGUCACGAGCGGGACGAGAUAUAUCCCCAUCAAAGCAAUUUUUUGGCUUGAAAGAGCUUUGAUCGAUAUUGAUUGUAAACCCGUUAGAGCGUCAUUUUUUUUCUUGAACAUUAAUACGUAAAUCUUAAAUACAGAUUAAAAACUAGAGUAGGAAUAUUCUGGCAAGAUUUACAAAACAAAUUACAAUUCCAUAAAAGUCUUAUUGCCAAAUAACUAUUAUACAGGCAUCACAGUUAAAUCAAUUGAGCUCAAAUUGUACGUAGGUUAGCGCAAUGUUCCAGCAAUGGAAGAACUCAAGUAGGAAGUGCCCCCAGGGCACAUCUCCAAGUGGUGAAAGGGGAGGGUGGAGAAAUCCAGCUUUGCUUGAGGCUGUUGCGUCAAGGGUUCGAAUCCUGAAAUAUGGAUUUGGCUCUUGGAUAAGUGCAAGUGUACAAGCAGCCUUCCACCCUGUACCGUUGGAGGCAUAACCUGCGAUUUACCUCCCUCACGAUGCUCCAGGGCAAGGGUGGUGAGAGACCUUUAAGGUUAAACCCAAGAACUCAAGUAGGAAGUUAUCACUACGUGAUAAUUGUAGCCAAGAGUUGUUAGUCUCUUAGAGUAGUUCACUGACGAAGAUAGCUCUAUGGUUGAAUCCAUUCCAAAAUUAUACAUUUAUUGUAGGCAAAAUCUCCUUUCUUUUUUUUCCUUUUUUUUUUNNNNNNNNNNNNNNNNNNNNNNNNNNNNNNNNNNNNNNNNNNNNNNNNNNNNNCAAUAUUAAUUUCUUUUCUGAAAUAAUUAUAGUCUUUAAGUCAUGAAACUUACCAAUUUUGGUAUUUUCUUUACUUUUCCUGGACAGUGCCUCCCUCCCUCUCCGGUUCUGCAUCAAUUUGUACUAGGUCUAUUGACUCUAUUCUUCCUUGUUCCUUCAUAAGAAACCCUUCCCAAUAAAAUAAAGGCACCCUGAACAAAAUCAAUGUUGUAUCUACCCUAUUUUUCUCUGUCACUUCCCCCAG